rnacentral:rRNA from 1 species
UACGUAGGGUGCAAGCGUUGUCCGGAAUUACUGGGCGUAAAGCGUGCGCAGGCGGUUCGCCAAGUCAGGUGUGAAAUCCCCGGGCUUAACCUGGGAAUUGCGCUUGAAACUAGCGGGCUUGAGUGUGGCAGAGGGGGGUGGAAUUCCACGUGUAGCAGUGAAAUGCGUAGAGAUGUGGAGGAACACCGAUGGCGAAGGCAGCCCCCUGGGUCAACACUGACGCUCAUGCACGAAAGCGUGGGGAGCAAACAGG